UACAGGGGGGGCAAGCGUUGUUCGGAAUUACUGGGCGUAAAGGGUUCGUAGGUGGCCAACUAAGUCAGACGUGAAAUCCCUCAGCUUAACUGGGGAACUGCGUCUGAUACUGGAUGGCUUGAGUGUAGGAGAGGAAUGCGGAAUUCCAGGUGUAGCGGUGAAAUGCGUAGAUAUCUGGAGGAACACCGGUGACGAAGGCGGCAUUCUGGACCAACACUGACGCUGAGGAGCGAAAGCCAGGGGAGCAAACGGG
rnacentral:rRNA from 1 species